rnacentral:rRNA from 1 species
CCUACGGGAGGCAGCAGUGGGGAAUAUUGCACAAUGGGGGAAACCCUGAUGCAGCGACGCCGCGUGAGUGAAGAAGUAUUUCGGUAUGUAAAGCUCUAUCAGCAGGGAAGAAAAUGACGGUACCUGAUUAAGAAGCCCCGGCUAACUACGUGCCAGCAGCCGCGGUAAUACGUAGGGGGCAAGCGUUAUCCGGAUUUACUGGGUGUAAAGGGGGCGUAGACGGCAGCACAAGUCUGGAGUGAAAGGCCGGGGCUUAACCCCCGGACUGCUUUGGAAACUGUGCAGCUAGAGUGCAGGAGAGGUAAGUGGAAUUCCUAGUGUAGCGGUGAAAUGCGUAGAUAUUAGGAGGAACACCAGUGGCGAAGGCGGCUUACUGGACUGUAACUGACGUUGAGGCGCGAAAGCGUGGGGAGCAAACAGGAUUAGAUACCCCUGUAGUC